UACGGAUGGUGCAAGCGUUAUUCGGAAUCACUGGGCUUAAAGAGUCCGUAGGCGGCUUUGUAGGUGAGGUGUGAAAUCCCACGGCUCAACCGUGGAAUUGCGCUUCAAACCACAUCGCUAGAGGGAGAUAGAGGAGAGCGGAACUCACGGUGGAGCGGUGAAAUGCGUUGAUAUCGUGAGGAACACCGGUGGCGAAAGCGGCUCUCUGGGUCUCUUCUGACGCUGAGGGACGAAAGCUAGGGGAGCGAACGGG
rnacentral:misc_RNA from 1 species